UUUCUUUCAUUUAAAUAUAAAAUUUGAGUUGCACAACCAAAUUGUUUCUUUAAUUCUAAUAAAAAGAACAAUAAAAAAAUUGCUUCAAGUCAAAGAAGCUUUUCUUUAACCGUAUAGCAAUGCACGAAUAUUUCUUUGGGUCAAACAAAUACUCAAAGAAAUCUUUUUCUGGGUGUAAUUAUGAAAAAUAAGAAUUAUGUGGAUCUUUCAAGAAUAAAUUUUGGAAAGUGUCUGUUGCAAAUUUGAUUGGCCAAAUGCCAGGGGAAAUUUAUUCCAUCGGAAUGAGAUGGCAGGUUGACCGCAGAAAUCUGUCGAGCAAGAUUUAUCGUUUCGUAAUCAUUUAAUGUGACGUGCCCCAUUUAAAUGAUUACGAAAUGACAGAUUCCGCUCGAUUUCUACUGUCAGAUUAUAUUUGCGGAACACAAAUUUCAUAUGAAUCAGUCUGCCGCAAUCCGCUUGUGUGAAUCUGCUGGCAAGUCGCUAACAUUUUACUUACUGAAUAUUUUUAAAACCGCAUUUUCAUCAAAGAAAUGAUACUUCAAAUUUAUGAUGUCUUUAAAUCUUUCCCGGUGAAAAUUUUUUUCCAUAUCACUCAUUUGCUACAACGGCAUAACUUAAAAAUUGUCAUUUUUUAUGUAUCCGCAAAACAGAGGGACUUCCGUGAGAAUCUAUUAUUAUAUUGAGUAAGGAGCUAAUGAUACUUUUUUCUCUAUAAUUAAGUACUUAAAUUGUUACAGUAAAAUCGCAUUUAAAAGUAAUAUUACAAAAUUUUAAUGAUUCAAAACAUUUAGAUUGAAAAAAAUUUUUUUAAAUUAUUUUAUUGUAGCAAAUAAGUGAUAUAACUUUUCAGAAUUUUUUUCUAAUUUUAUAAUUAAAAACAAUUUUUUUAGAUUUUUUUAUACGAACUGGGACACUUUCGAAGUACUGAGAAAGUCUACAUCACUGUUUUAGAAUUCUUUUCACAUUAGUACUACUUGGCAUAAUGUAUAUGGGACAGAAGCACGUUAGAUUUGGCAAGAUAAUCAAGUUUUGCGGAUUUCUAUUAGUUUAUUACUUAAUACGCGAACUUGGAAUGUACAAAUUAUCAUUAGAUCCAAAGCUUCAAUUACCGCUCUGCAGUCACUUUGGGGAGAGUAUUUCUUCUCAGGGAUUAAUUUAAUCUGAUGCCACUUGGUAAAUCGUUAGUGACUCAAUCGUCAUGGACCGAGGAUAAGUGAACACUGAUAUGUAUUUCGGCAAUAUUGUUACACUGAGGAUGACUUCAGAGCGAGUCGAAACCGCUCAUGGUGUUCAUCUUGAUGGCGGUUUUCAAUGGCAUGUCGAACCUGACAUUAGCGGCCAUAUGAAAGAUGACGGAAACAUUAUUUGUGAGGCGAUCCUUAUCCGCGACGGAUAAAGCGAGUUCUUCGAC